rnacentral:rRNA from 1 species
GCGCAUUAACGGCCCGCUUAUUCUGCAGUCGAGCGAAUGGAUUAAGAGCUUGCUCUUAUGAAGUUAGCGGCGGACGGGUGAGUAACACGUGGGUAACCUGCCCAUAAGACUGGGAUAACUCCGGGAAACCGGGGCUAAUACCGGAUAACAUUUUGAACCGCAUGGUUCGAAAUUGAAAGGCGGCUUCGGCUGUCACUUAUGGAUGGACCCGCGUCGCAUUAGCUAGUUGGUGAGGUAACGGCUCACCAAGGCAACGAUGCGUAGCCGACCUGAGAGGGUGAUCGGCCACACUGGGACUGAGACACGGCCCAGACUCCUACGGGAGGCAGCAGUAGGGAAUCUUCCGCAAUGGACGAAAGUCUGACGGAGCAACGCCGCGUGAGUGAUGAAGGCUUUCGGGUCGUAAAACUCUGUUGUUAGGGAAGAACAAGUGCUAGUUGAAUAAGCUGGCACCUUGACGGUACCUAACCAGAAAGCCACGGCUAACUACGUGCCAGCAGCCGCGGUAAUACGUAGGUGGCAAGCGUUAUCCGGAAUUAUUGGGCGUAAAGCGCGCGCAGGUGGUUUCUUAAGUCUGAUGUGAAAGCCCACGGCUCAACCGUGGAGGGUCAUUGGAAACUGGGAGA